rnacentral:rRNA from 1 species
UGAAUUGAGAACCGGCCAGACUCUUACGAAGCAGCAUUGGAAUUGCAUUGGGCACCUGAUCAGCCAUGCGCGUGAGUGAAGAAGCUCGGUGUAAGCUCUUUCAGCCGACCGAAACGUACCGUAUACCGUGAUUACUGACCGUACCGAGAGAGCACCGCUAACUACGUGCCAGCAGCCGCGUAUACGUAGGGUGCGAGCGGUUAAUCCGGAAUUACUGGGCGUAAAGCGUGCGCAGGUGGUUUUGUAAGUCAGAUGUGAAAUCCCCGGGCUUAACCUGGGAACUGCGUUUGAAACUACAAGACUAGAGUGUAGCAGAGGGGGGUGGAAUUCCGCGUGUAGCAGUGAAAUGCGUAGAGAUGUGGAGGAACACCGAUGGCGAAGGCAGCCCCCUGGGUUAACACUGACACUCAGGCACGAAAGCAUGGGGAGCAAACAGGAUUAGAUACCCUGGUAGUCCAUGCCCUAAACGAUGUCAACUAGUUGUCGGGCCUUUGCGGGCUUGGUAACGUAGCUAACGCGUGAAGUUGACCGCCUGGGGAGUACGAUCGCAAGAUUAAAACUCAAAGGAAUUGACGGGGACCCGCACAAGCGGUGGAUUAUGUGGAUUAAUUCGAUGCAACGCGAAAAACCUUACCUACCCUUGACAUGUAUCGAAACCCGCAGAGAAGUGGGUGUGCCCGAAAGGGAACGAUAACACAGGUGCUGCAUGGCUGUCGUCAGCUCGUGUCGUGAGAUGUUGGGUUAAGUCCCGCAACGAGCGCAACCCUUGUCAUUAAUUGCCAUCAUUUAGUUGGGCACUUUAAUGAGACUGCCGGUGACAAACCGGAGGAAGGUGGGGAUGACGUCAAGUCCUCAUGGCCCUUAUGGGUAGGGCUUCACACGUAAUACAAUGGCGCGUACAGAGGGUUGCCAACCCGUGAGGGGGAGCUAAUCUCAGAAAGCGCGUCGUAGUCCGGAUCGGAGUCUGCAACUCGACUCCGUGAAGUCGGAAUCGCUAGUAAUCGCGGAUCAGCAUGUCGCGGUGAAUACGUUCCCGGGUCUUGUACACACCGCCCGUCACACCAUGGGAGUGGGUUCCACCAGAAGCAGGUAGUCUAACCGUAAGGAGGGCGCUUGCCACGGUGAGAUUCAUGACUGGGGUGAAGUCGUAACAAGGU